GUGAGAAGCAUGUGACCAUAUAGAUGGUGUUGGAUUCCAACUCCCAUAACCCCUAGCCAGCAUAGCCAGUGCACAGGGGCAAUGGAAGUUGUAGUUCAGCAGCAUCUGGGAAGCCACAUGUUACUACAGCAAGCCACCUUCUCAGGGCUGUGAGAUUCAAGACAAAUCUUGCCAUUCUCAAACCCAACUCCUCAGCUCUGAAUAAUAUCCUGCACUCUCUCAUCUACUGGCAGGGCUCUGACAAGUGUGUUGCAGAGACAAGAGGUGAGUAGAUUCACCCAGGAGGAGGGAUGAUUUAUGGGGACAAAGGCAUCAGAGAUGGAGAUGGGUGCACAGGACAUGUUGGAGGAAGAGGGUGUUCAGGUGAGGGAGAUGCCAGCCAAAUCCCUGCCACCCCCUGCCCUACUGUCUCCUAGAACGAGGAGGGGCUAGAAGAGGUAAGAGGACAAGCCUCAGGUUGCACAUGAGCCCCUCAUCAGAUGCGGAUACAUAAGCUGGGGUUGGGGGGACAUGGUACCACUGUUGCUGCAACUGCUCCACAAGACACAGGCCUGGGGACAGUUGCCUAGAAGCUAGAAGCAUGAGCGCGUAUGUAUCCAGUGCACCAUGCUUUAAAAAAAUUACCUAUCAGAAGUGUACCUACAUUGGCUGGGGGUGCCUGGGACAUCUACCACUUUUUUUCACCAUUAGAUCAGAGAAGGCCACAGCCAAGUAUCGUGGCCAUCACUACCUUAAUUCUGGGUGCACACUUGCAGUUAUUACAUUGCCACUGCCUCAUAAACUACCAGUUUGCAAAAACUGUUCAUUUGUUCUCAUUUUCUCAAAACACUUAUCAAGAAAAGUAAAGUGGCAAACAAGAGAUCGGAAGGUAAAGGGGUUUUUUUCUUCUUUUUUCUUUUCAGAUUCAAGACAGCUAACAAAACAUGCCAGCCAAACUGUGCCUGCCCCUAUUUACUAAGCAGGAAUAGGAUUCGGGGUUUUAGUGGAAUAAAAAUGAAAUUGAAGG